CGGGGCAGUCCGUGUCGCCGUGGUCUGCUCCCCGACUUCGAAGCUCGUGGCUUAGGAGUCGUUACAGCGCCCCCACCCCCGCUCCGGUCCGCGCUCGCCGAGCAGUCUGCGAGCUAGAGAAGAGCGCGAUUAUCCGUGUGACUCAUCCAGCCCUCCGUCCCUUCCCUGCGCGCGCAGCAGCUGGGCGCGGGUCCCGGAGCGCCAGUGCGGGCUCUUGGCCUGCCCUCGCGGGGUUCUUCGCGGGCUCUCCUGCCUGGUGGGGCUCCGAGCAGUCAAGCCCACCGAAAUGGACUUAGCUGGGAAAGUGGACACGUGCCAGGAAGCGGAGCGGUGCGGUGGGACCCCGGUUCCCGAAAAGGGCAGCAGGAGCUCGCGGCAGCCGUUCCUGCCCACCGGGAAGAGAAGAGGAAACGGCGAUCGUUAUUUCAGCCUUAUAACUUUGCCUUCCCACCCCCACAGUCCCCUAAGUUUGUGAUCAGUAAUUUUCCAGCCGGGAAAUGUUUUCGCCCUCAUCUCUGCAAACAGUGGCGUGGUUUUUUUUGUUUUG